rnacentral:rRNA from 1 species
CACGUAGGGCGCAAGCGUUGUCCGGAAUUAUUGGGCGUAAAGAGCUCGUAGGUGGUUUGUUACGUCUGCUGUGAAAACCUAGGGCUUAACCCUGGGCUUGCAGUGGAUACGGGCAGACUAGAGGUAGGUAGGGGAGAAUGGAAUUCCUGGUGUAGCGGUGAAAUGCGCAGAUAUCAGGAGGAACACCGAUGGCGAAGGCAGUGAUCUGGGCCGGUACUGACGCUGAGGAGCGAAAGCGUGGGUAGCAAACAGG